rnacentral:ncRNA from 20 species
UAUCUUUGUCCCCGUUCCGGAGCUAAAAAGAGGUUUAGUCAAAAGGGAACGCUGUGCAAAUCGGCGACAGUACCCGCUGCUGUAAUUCUCUGAGAAUCCGCACACUAUGCCACUGCGAGUUUCAUCGUGGGAAGGCGUUGCGAAGGAGAGAUAAGUCAGAAGACCGGCCGGACAGAUUUACCAUUUC